GAUGAACGCUAGCUACAGGCUUAACACAUGCAAGUCGCGGGACCGGCGCACGGGUGAGUCACGCGUAUCCCACCUGCCCUUCCCCCCGGGAUAACCCGGCGAAAGUCGGACUAAUACCGUAUGGUGCCGGUUGGGGCUGCGUCCGAUUAGCUUGACGGCGGGGUAACGGCCCACCGUGGCUACGAUCGGUAGGGGUUCUGAGAGGAAGGUCCCCCACACUGGAACUGAGACACGGUCCAGACUCCUACGGGAGGCAGCAGUGAGGAAUAUUGGGCAAUGGGCGUAAGCCUGAACCAGCCAAGUAGCGUGCAGGACGACGGCCUAUGGGUUGUAAACUGCUUUUAUGCGGGGAUAGGUACCGCAUGAAUAAGGACCGGCUAAUUCCGUGCCAGCAGCCGCGGUAAUUC
rnacentral:rRNA from 1 species